rnacentral:rRNA from 1 species
AUUGAACGCUGGCGGCAGGCCUAACACAUGCAAGUCGAGCGGAUGAGAGGAGCUUGCUCCUUGAUUUAGCGGCGGACGGGUGAGUAAUGCCUAGGAAUCUGCCUGGUAGUGGGGGAUAACGUCCGGAAACGGGCGCUAAUACCGCAUACGUCCUACGGGAGAAAGCAGGGGACCUUCGGGCCUUGCGCUAUCAGAUGAGCCUAGGUCGGAUUAGCUAGUUGGUGAGGUAAUGGCUCACCAAGGCGACGAUCCGUAACUGGUCUGAGAGGAUGAUCAGUCACACUGGAACUGAGACACGGUCCAGACUCCUACGGGAGGCAGCAGUGGGGAAUAUUGGACAAUGGGCGAAAGCCUGAUCCAGCCAUGCCGCGUGUGUGAAGAAGGUCUUCGGAUUGUAAAGCACUUUAAGUUGGGAGGAAGGGCAUUAACCUAAUACGUUAGUGUUUUGACGUUACCGACAGAAUAAGCACCGGCUAACUUCGUGCCAGCCGCCGCGGUAAUAC